CACGUAGGGCGCGAGCGUUGUCCGGAAUUAUUGGGCGUAAAGAGCUCGUAGGCGGCCUGUUGCGUCCGCUGUGAAAGCCCCGGGGGCUUAACCCCCGGGUCGGCAGUGGAUACGGGGCAGGCUAGAGGUAGGUAGGGGAGAAUGGAAUUCCUGGUGUAGCGGUGAAAUGCGCAGAUAUCAGGAGGAACACCGAUGGCGAAGGCAGGUCUCUGGGCAUUAACUGACGCUGGAGGAGCGAAAGCAUGGGGGAGCGAACAGG
rnacentral:rRNA from 1 species